UUUGUUAAACGUUAACCAAUGGGGGAGAAGAACUGAAGUUCAUUUUAUUAAAAAGAUAUUUCUGAUGAAUUUUGAUCACUAUUUCUGGUUGCUCAGCAGAACUAAAAAAUGUUUUCCCUUAUCAAUGCCAUUCCCAUCUACUGCUCUAGUACUUCUACGUAUCAGUUGGUUACUGCUGGUCUUGAGAAAUCUCAAAUGGUAUUAUACACCAUAUAGUUAAAGGAUGCCAGGGUAUGAAUAUGUGAGACAUUGUUAUCACUAUAAUCAGCCCUAUACUGUACGGUAAUAGGUAAGACACAAGACUUAAUUUUUAUGAAAUGAACUCACUGAUCUAAUAUUCUAAUCAAUAACGCCAUAUGUUUCUAAGAUCCUAAACCCUAAUACCCUAACCCAAACCCUAAACCCUAAACCCUAAAUACAAAUCCAUAACCUCUAAGCUCUAAAAACUCUAAAAGCAUAAGUUAAGAAACCCAAGAUUGUCUAAAAGCAUGUUAGCUUCAGCUUCGCUGAAGUCCUACCAUAUGGUAGGAAUUGAUGAGGAGGAGCCGUCUCCAACUAGCUCCCUUGUGCCCGCAAGCAAGCUAGUACUAAAUAGAAAGAAGAGAAAAUAAAAAGAAAAACUAUCAAGUGUUAUAGUGACAAAACAUAAAAAAAGAAAAGAUAAAAUAAGAAAAAAUAUAUAUCUAGAACAACUUGUAUGAACUCGUGAUAAACAAAAAUUAGGAUACAAAAUAACCUAUCAUGGGAAGAAAAUGAACUGAAAAGGUCAAUCAAAAAAUACUGAAGAAAAAUAAAAUGGAAGGGAGAAAAUAAACAGAAGAAAAAAAAUCAUGUUGACACAAGAAGAGAAAAUAACGGAUGGAGAAAAGGAAAAAAAAGGAAGGAAAUGAAUGGAAGAAAAGAACACGUUAGGAAGAAAGCGAAGGAAGAAAAAAAACACCUAAGAAAAUGAAACCGAGUAACCAAUGGAAAAAUAGUUACGAGAAAAACAAAAGAAACCGAAAAAAGAGAAACGGAGGAAAUCUGACGCAUACAUAGCAUAUUCCAACAAGCUGAAGAAAAAAACUAUCAUGGACUACGUAUCUGAAAAGAUAUAGCAGUGGGCUGAACAUCCUGUUGUUGGACUUUCUAUACUUGUUCAAACUGAUUUAGGGGGUGUUUGGAUACGAGGUGCUAAACUUUAACAGUGUCACAUCGGAUGUUCGAAUACUAAUUAGGAGAACUAAACAUGAGCUAAUUAUAAAACUAAUUGCAGACCCCUUUGCUAAUUCGCGAGACGAAUCUAUUAAGCCUAAUUAAUCCAUCAUUAGCAAAUGGUUACUGUAGCACCACAUUGUCAAAUCAUGGACUAAUUAGACUUAAUUACACUCCAUCUGUGCAAUUAGUUUUAUAAUUAAUCUAUAUUUAAU
rnacentral:lncRNA from 1 species